GACGAACGCUGGCGGCGUGCCUAAUACAUGCAAGUCGAACGCUUCUUUCCUCCCGAGUGCUUGCACUCAAUUGGAAAGAGGAGUGGCGGACGGGUGAGUAACACGUGGGUAACCUACCCAUCAGAGGGGGAUAACACUUGGAAACAGGUGCUAAUACCGCAUAACAGUUUAUGCCGCAUGGCAUAAGAGUGAAAGGCGCUUUCGGGUGUCGCUGAUGGAUGGACCCGCGGUGCAUUAGCUAGUUGGUGAGGUAACGGCUCACCAAGGCCACGAUGCAUAGCCGACCUGAGAGGGUGAUCGGCCACACUGGGACUGAGACACGGCCCAGACUCCUACGGGAGGCAGCAGUAGGGAAUCUUCGGCAAUGGACGAAAGUCUGACCGAGCAACGCCGCGUGAGUGAAGAAGGUUUUCGGAUCGUAAAACUCUGUUGUUAGAGAAGAACAAGGACGUUAGUAAC
rnacentral:rRNA from 1 species